GCAGCCGCGGUAAUACGUAGGGAGCGAGCGUUAUCCGGAUUUACUGGGUGUAAAGGGCGUGUAGGCGGGACAACAAGUCAGAUGUGAAAGCACGGGGCUCAACUCCGUGUCUGCAUUUGAAACUGUAGUUCUUGAGUGCUGGAGAGGCUAACGGAACUCCUAGUGUAGCGGUGAAAUGCGUAGAUAUUAGGAAGAACACCAGUGGCGAAGGCGGUUAGCUGGACAGUAACUGACGCUGAGGCGCGAAAGCGUGGGUAGCAAACAGGAUUAGAUACCCC
rnacentral:rRNA from 1 species